GGUUAAGCGACUAAGCGUACACGGUGGAUGCCCUGGCAGUCAGAGGCGAUGAAGGACGUGCUAAUCUGCGAAAAGCGUCGGUAAGGUGAUAUGAACCGUUACAGCCGGCGAUGUCCGAAUGGGGAAACCCAGUGUGAUUCGUCACACUAUCGUUAACUGAAUACAUAGGUUAACGAGGCGAACCGGGGGAACUGAAACAUCUAAGUACCCCGAGGAAAAGAAAUCAACCGAGAUUCCCCCAGUAGCGGCGAGCGAACGGGGAGCAGCCCAGAGUCUGAAUCAGCUUGUGUGUUAGUGGAACGGUCUGGAAAGUCCGACGGUACAGGGUGAUAGUCCCGUACACCAAAAUGCACAGGCUGUGAACUCGAAGAGUAGGGCGGGACACGUGGUAUCCUGUCUGAAUAUGGGGGGACCAUCCUCCAAGGCUAAAUACUCCUGACUGACCGAUAGUGAACCAGUACCGUGAGGGAAAGGCGAAAAGAACCCCGGCGAGGGGAGUGAAAAAGAACCUGAAACCGUGUACGUACAAGCAGUGGGAGCACCUUCGGGUGUGACUGCGUACCUUUUGUAUAAUGGGUCAGCGACUUAUAUUCUGUAGCAAGGUUAACCGUAUAGGGGAGCCGCAGGGAAACCGAGUCUUAACUGGGCGUUAAGUUGCAGGGUAUAGACCCGAAACCCGGUGAUCUAGCCAUGGGCAGGUUGAAGGUUGGGUAACACUAACUGGAGGACCGAACCGACUAAUGUUGAAAAAUUAGCGGAUGACUUGUGGCUGGGGGUGAAAGGCCAAUCAAACCGGGAGAUAGCUGGUUCUCCCCGAAAGCUAUUUAGGUAGCGCCUCGUGAAUUCAUCUUCGGGGGUAGAGCACUGUUUCGGCUAGGGGGUCAUCCCGACUUACCAACCCGAUGCAAACUACGAAUACCGAAGAAUGUUAUCACGGGAGACACACGGCGGGUGCUAACGUCCGUCGUGAAGAGGGAAACAACCCAGACCGCCAGCUAAGGUCCCAAAGUCAUGGUUAAGUGGGAAACGAUGUGGGAAGGCACAGACAGCCAGGAUGUUGGCUUAGAAGCAGCCAUCAUUUAAAGAAAGCGUAAUAGCUCACUGGUCGAGUCGGCCUGCGCGGAAGAUGUAACGGGGCUAAACCAUGCACCGAAGCUGCGGCAGCGACACUAUGUGUUGUUGGGUAGGGGAGCGUUCUGUAAGCCUGCGAAGGUGACCUGUGAGGGUUGCUGGAGGUAUCAGAAGUGCGAAUGCUGACAUAAGUAACGAUAAAGCGGGUGAAAAGCCCGCUCGCCGGAAGACCAAGGGUUCCUGUCCAACGUUAAUCGGGGCAGGGUGAGUCGACCCCUAAGGCGAGGCCGAAAGGCGUAGUCGAUGGGAAACAGGUUAAUAUUCCUGUACUUGGUGUUACUGCGAAGGGGGGACGGAGAAGGCUAUGUUAGCCGGGCGACGGUUGUCCCGGUUUAAGCAUGUAGGCUGGUUGUCCAGGCAAAUCCGGAUAAUCAAGGCUGAGGUGUGAUGACGAGGCACUACGGUGCUGAAGUAACAAAUGCCCUGCUUCCAGGAAAAGCCUCUAAGCAUCAGGUAACAUCAAAUCGUACCCCAAACCGACACAGGUGGUCAGGUAGAGAAUACCAAGGCGCUUGAGAGAACUCGGGUGAAGGAACUAGGCAAAAUGGUGCCGUAACUUCGGGAGAAGGCACGCUGGUGUGUAGGUGAAGUCCCUGCGGAUGGAGCUGAGACCAGUCGAAGAUACCAGCUGGCUGCAACUGUUUAUUAAAAACACAGCACUGUGCAAACACGAAAGUGGACGUAUACGGUGUGACGCCUGCCCGGUGCCGGAAGGUUAAUUGAUGGGGUUAUCCGUAAGGAGAAGCUCUUGAUCGAAGCCCCGGUAAACGGCGGCCGUAACUAUAACGGUCCUAAGGUAGCGAAAUUCCUUGUCGGGUAAGUUCCGACCUGCACGAAUGGCGUAAUGAUGGCCAGGCUGUCUCCACCCGAGACUCAGUGAAAUUGAACUCGCUGUGAAGAUGCAGUGUACCCGCGGCAAGACGGAAAGACCCCGUGAACCUUUACUAUAGCUUGACACUGAACAUUGAGCCUUGAUGUGUAGGAUAGGUGGGAGGCUUUGAAGCGUGGACGCCAGUCUGCGUGGAGCCAACCUUGAAAUACCACCCUUUAAUGUUUGAUGUUCUAACGUUGGCCCCUUAUCGGGGUUGCGGACAGUGUCUGGUGGGUAGUUUGACUGGGGCGGUCUCCUCCCAAAGCGUAACGGAGGAGCACGAAGGUUAGCUAAUCCUGGUCGGACAUCAGGAGGUUAGUGCAAUGGCAUAAGCUAGCUUGACUGCGAGCGUGACGGCGCGAGCAGGUGCGAAAGCAGGUCAUAGUGAUCCGGUGGUUCUGAAUGGAAGGGCCAUCGCUCAACGGAUAAAAGGUACUCCGGGGAUAACAGGCUGAUACCGCCCAAGAGUUCAUAUCGACGGCGGUGUUUGGCACCUCGAUGUCGGCUCAUCACAUCCUGGGGCUGAAGUAGGUCCCAAGGGUAUGGCUGUUCGCCAUUUAAAGUGGUACGCGAGCUGGGUUUAGAACGUCGUGAGACAGUUCGGUCCCUAUCUGCCGUGGGCGCUGGAGAAUUGAGGGGGGCUGCUCCUAGUACGAGAGGACCGGAGUGGACGCAUCACUGGUGUUCGGGUUGUCAUGCCAAUGGCACUGCCCGGUAGCUAAAUGCGGAAGAGAUAAGUGCUGAAAGCAUCUAAGCACGAAACUUGCCCCGAGAUGAGUUCUCCCUGAGACUUUAAGUCUCCUGAAGGAACGUUAAAGACGAUGACGUUGAUAGGCCGGGUGUGUAAGCGCAGCGAUGCGUUGAGCUAACCGGUACUAAUGAACCGUGAGGCUUAACCUU
rnacentral:rRNA from 1 species